rnacentral:rRNA from 1 species
UACGUAGGUGGCGAGCGUUGUCCGGAUUUAUUGGGCGUAAAGCGAGCGCAGGUGGUUUAUUAAGUCUGGUGUAAAAGGCAGUGGCUCAACCAUUGUAUGCAUUGGAAACUGGUAGACUUAAGUGCAGGAGAGGAGAGUGGAAUUCCAUGUGUAGCGGUGAAAUGCGUAGAUAUAUGGAGGAACACCGGUGGCGAAAGCGGCUCUCUGGCCUGUAACUGACACUGAGGCUCGAAAGCGUGGGGAGCAAACAGG